rnacentral:rRNA from 1 species
UACGAAGGGGGCUAGCGUUGCUCGGAAUGACUGGGCGUAAAGGGCGCGUAGGCGGUUUGGUUCGUUAGGCGUGAAAUUCCUGGGCUCAACCUGGGGACUGCGUUUAAUACAGCCAGACUUGAGUGUGGAAGAGGGUCGUGGAAUUCCCAGUGUAGUGGUGAAAUUCGUAGAUAUUGGGAAGAACACCGGUGGCGAAGGCGGCCUUCUGGACCAAUACUGACGCUCAUGCACGAAAGCGUGGGGAGCAAACAGG